UACGUAGGUGGCGAACGUUAUCCGGAAUCAUUGGGCGUAAAGGGUGCGUAGGUGGCUUGAUAAGUUAGCAGUGGGAAAUCGAGGCUCAACCUCGUGGAAGCUGGUAAUACUGUCAGGCUCGAGUGCAGGAGAGGUUAACGGAACUCCAUGUGGAGCGGUAAAAUGUGUAGAUAUAUGGAAGAACAUCAAUAACGGCGAAGGCAGUUAACUAUUCUGUUACUGACGUUGAGGCACGAAAGCGUGGGGAGCAAAACGG
rnacentral:rRNA from 1 species